rnacentral:sRNA from 1 species
GCUGGGCGUGGUGAUGUGCACCUGUGAUCCCAGCUACUUAGGAGGCUGAGGCAGGAGAAUCGCUUGAACCCAGGAGACACAGGUUGCAGUGACCCGAGAUCGGGCCACUGCACUCCAGCCUGGGCAAUAGAGCGAGACUCUGUCUCAA